AUGCCAUGAUGUGGGCAUUUCCCUAGCAAGUCAUUCAAUCUUUCCCAAGCCUCAUGUAAUAACUCCCCUUCUUUUUGAGAAAAAGUUCUAAUUGAAGUAAGCAU